rnacentral:miRNA from 17 species
AUGACCUAUGAAUUGACAGCC